rnacentral:misc_RNA from 1 species
GAUGAAGAACGUAGCGAAAUGCGAUAAGUAAUGUGAAUUGCAGAAUUCAGUGAAUCAUCGAAUCUUUGAACGCACAUUGCGCCCGCCAGCAUUCUGGCGGGCAUGCCUGUUCGAGCGUCAUUUCAACCCUCGACUUCCCUUUGGGGAAAUCGGCGUUGGGGACCGGCUGUAUACCGCCGGCCCCGAAAUGAAGUGGCGGCCCGUCCGCGGCGACCUCUGCGUAGUAAUCCAACUCGCACCGGAACCCCGACGUGGCCACGCCGUAAAACCCCCGACUUCUGAACGUUGACCUCGGAUCAGGUAGGAAUACCCGCUGAACUUAAGCAUAUCAAUAAGCGGGGA